rnacentral:tRNA from 1 species
UCCCUGGUGGCUCAGACGGUAAAGGAUCUGCCUGCAGUGCAGGAGACGCAGGUUCAAUCCCUGGGUCAGGGAA